GUGGUGUGAGAGGAGCAGAUGGUGUUGCUGUAACUGAGGAGGGAUUCCUUGUGGAAGUACAAGUGCUGGAAGUUUUACAUCAUCGGGAAGCUUUUUUGUUCUUGACAAUUGUUAUUUUUGCUUUACUGAAAUGGACCUGUCUGUCCAUAAGCAGGCACCUUGCCACUGCAACAGAUGGGCAGGAACAUAAGUAGCCAGGAGAAUAGAUCUGUAUAUCUCUCAAAUGUGUAAUGGUCUGACUCUCAGAAAGCUGUCACUGUAGUUCUUCAUAAGGAACUUCCUUGGCAUAUGGUGAGAUAGUACGUUAUUACUCCAUUACUUAAAAACCCCCAGACAAUCAAAAGUAAUGUGCUGUGUUUCUAAUGAAAAGGGAGCAGAAUGUCUGGAGAUAAUAAAAGAUCUUCAGGUUUCACUGUUCAUGUGAAGAAGAGACUCUAAGGACAACAAGGCUUGAAACCUCUAUCUAUGUGUGCUAAUAUGUGGCAAACACUGAUUGGUAAUCCUGUAUUCCAUGAAGUGUUUACAACCCAGAAGCAGAAAAUAGGUAACUGGUGCUUGAGCUAUCAAGCAGCUGGAACACAGGUGUGUAUGUACUAACACAGAGAAUGGAUAUUACACUGUCUAUAGAAGUAUGUUUUCUUCAUUUGGGUUAGUAUUACAGAUUUUACACUUAAAACAGGUUUUUUUUAGAAACUUUCCUCCUAUAGAUCUAAUGAAAACUACAGACUUUUUAUAAGCAAAAGCUGUCACUGAAAGAAAUAACACAGACAACUCAGGUGUUCUUGUGUUUGGCAGCACAUUAACCAGCUGGCAGCUGGAUGUUAACAGCUGCAUGUUCUAUUUUUUGCCUUUGUGAGGAUGUUGUCUGAAGGUUGAGAACAAAGGACACAACCCUAAGAAGCCUGCUUCUUCGUUCUGCUACCAAUGGAACACUUUGUAAUACUUACAUUUUCAGAAAUUACCAUUGGUACAACUGUGUAUGUGAUGGAAGAACAACUGACCUGAAGGCUAGCCUUUCAAAUCCUAGAACUGGCUAUUCAAGACUCAGCUGUGCUCUGUGUUUUCUUCAUACUGUUUUCUUUUGCUGACAUCUGUCAACACAGUUCUGAAUUGGGAUUUCAUCUCACUCUUGUGACUUUGACUCAUCUGCCCUGUUAAUUCUAUGGAAGUUUUCAAAUUGAUGAACCAGAGAAUGGAGCUUGUGUAAGAAGAAUUUAUCCUGAAAAAGAAAUCCAGCUCAUUUAUUUAUGUGAGUUCCAGGUGGACCAGCACCUUUGGCAGAUGCAUUAACACUAACCCAUGAGGAAAGAGUAAUUUUUGGGCAGCUCUCACACUAUUCAGAUCAGAGCUUAUGCUGUUAAAUGUCACCGAGAAACCAACAGGCAACUUAUUAAGGUCAAACAGUGUCAGUAACCACACACUCUCAGGAAGAGGACCAUGAUCAGAAUUAAACGGGAAGGAGCUGCCUUGACUAUUGGAGCAAUAUGAUGAUCUUAACCAGCUGGAAACUAGAUAAGGUAUUUAUGACAAGACAGAGAAGCAUAAACAUGCGAGAAAGCAUUACUGCUAAAUGGGAGUGGAAUUCAACUUAAUAGCUUUCCCCUCCUGGAGAUUGUCAACUUUAUGGAAAAUGUCUGGUUGAUGACCAGUGAAGCCACUUCAGCCACUGCUGUUUCCAGCCCAUCACAGCAGCAAUAUAAACUUCGGUCCACGUUCAACUCCUGUUCCAGUUUGAGUUGCAAUAAUUACCCAUUGAAGCAGCUGUACUUGGUCUUAAAAUCCCUACCCACACCAGAUGGAGGAUGGCUGAGCAGAUAGAGGAGGAUGAAGCAGGGUUGCAAUGGAAUAACAGCUUGCAACAAUGCCGAGUUUAGCUGUCAGAAAGUCAUACAAAUACUAUCAAAUAUCUGGAAAGAUGAAAUGGAAGCCUGCCAAGACAUAACCUGUCUAGAACCUGGAGAAUUCAAAUUAUUUGUUUUUACAAACCUGCACAGGCACUACACAGGUUUUUGUGAAUUUCACUAAAACUGGAAAUAAAUUAUUUUUUCAUUACCCUCACCCAUGUGGAAGCCUUCUAUAUCAUGGGAAAUGUUCUUUGAGAAUGCAGCAUUAGUGGAGCCUGUAUUAAAAAUGUGCUUUAAAUCAAAUGGAAGAGAGAGCAAAAUAGAAUGAAAUACAGAUUGUAAAGAAAGCAGGUGUAAUUUGCUGUGAUGUAGUUCAAACUUGAAGUUGCUUCACCCCUGUACAAAGUUUUAGCAGAGGCCUUCAGGAUUAAUACAAACUGAAAUGCUGAUAUAUUUUUAUUGUCUUAAUAAUCUUCUUUCUGCAUGAUGGUUAAGACCCUCAGACUACAGAGACCAAAAUAUUUGUACUGUGUUCAUGCCUGCUGUAUAGCUAUCUAAUUACUAAUUUUACACUGCUUUGGCGACUAUGAGUAAAAAUUAACUAAAGCCAAUGUUGUUUUGUUGAUGUUGUGUUUGAUUUUGCUGUUGUUUUAAUUUGGUUUUGCUAUUUUGGGCGGUUUUCUUAAAUGCUUGCUGUUUCAAGCAUCAUAUUUUGGUCUAUAUCCCAGUAAUAAUCCCACAGGAAAUCCACAUUGUAGGUUUGUGUUCAGUGUACUAGAAACAAAAGUCAUGAGCAUAGAUGUUGGAAAGGUGUCCUUUAUUAUUGCACAUUUCUGUGAGAUAAUUUAAGGGGAUAUAUAUAUAUUUGCCUGCAAACCAGC